rnacentral:rRNA from 1 species
CAGCCGCCGCGGUAACACGAAGGGGGCUAGCGUUGUUCGGAUUUACUGGGCGUAAAGCGCACGUAGGCGGACUUUUAAGUCAGGGGUGAAAUCCCGGGGCUCAACCCCGGAACUGCCUUUGAUACUGGAAGUCUUGAGUAUGGUAGAGGUGAGUGGAAUUCCGAGUGUAGAGGUGAAAUUCGUAGAUAUUCGGAGGAACACCAGUGGCGAAGGCGGCUCACUGGACCAUUACUGACGCUGAGGUGCGAAAGCGUGGGGAGCAAACAGGAUUAGAUACCCCCGUAGUCCCUGUCUCUUAUAC